CUACGGGGGGCUGCAGUGAGGAAUAUUGCACAAUGGGGGGAACCCUGAUGCAGCAACGCCGCGUGGAGGAUGACGCGUUUCGGUGUGUAAACUCCUUUUAUAUGUCAAGAAAAUGACGGUAGCAUAUGAAUAAGCACCGGCUAACUCCGUGCCAGCAGCCGCGGUAAUACGGAGGGUGCAAGCGUUACUCGGAAUCACUGGGCGUAAAGGACGCGUAGGCGGGUUGGAAAGUCAGGUGUGAAAUCCUACAGCUUAACUGGAGAACUGCACUUGAAACUUCUAAUCUAGAGUAUGGGAGGGGGAGAUGGAAUUAGUGGUGUAGGGGUAAAAUCCGUAGAUAUCACGAGGAAUACCUAAAGCGAAGGCGAUCUCCUGGAACAUUACUGACGCUAAGGCGUGAAAGCGUGGGGAGCAAACAGGAUUAGAUACCCUCGUAGUC
rnacentral:rRNA from 1 species